UACGUAGGGGGCAAGCGUUGUCCGGAAUUAUUGGGCGUAAAGCGCGUGUAGGCGGCUCGAUAAGUCUGCUGUGAAAGUCCAGGGCUCAACCCUGGAAUGCCGGUGGAUACUGUCGAGCUCGAGUCCGGAAGAGGCGAGUGGAAUUCCUGGUGUAGCGGUGAAAUGCGCAGAUAUCAGGAGGAACACCAAUGGCGAAGGCAGCUCGCUGGGACGUGACUGACGCUGAGACGCGAAAGCGUGGGGAGCAAACAGG
rnacentral:rRNA from 1 species